UACGUAGGGGGCAAGCGUUAUCCGGAUUCACUGGGUGUAAAGGGAGCGUAGACGGCGACGCAAGUCUGGAGUGAAAGCCCGGGGCCCAACCCCGGGACUGCUCUGGAAACUGCGGCGCUGGAGUACGGGAGGGGCAGGCGGAAUUCCUGGUGUAGCGGUGAAAUGCGUAGAUAUCAGGAGGAACACCGGCGGCGAAGGCGGCCUGCUGGACCGUGACUGACGUUGAGGCUCGAGAGCGUGGGGAUCAAACAGG
rnacentral:rRNA from 1 species